rnacentral:rRNA from 1 species
AACAAACGCUGGCGGCAUGCCUAACACAUGCAAGUCGAACGAGACCUUCGGGUCAAGUGGCGCACGGGUGCGUAACGCGUGGGAAUCUGCCCUUUGCUUCGGAAUAAAAGUGAGAAAUUGCUGCUAAUACCGGAUGAUGUCUUCGGACCAUAGAUUUAUCGGCAAAGGGUGAGCCCGCGUAGGAUUAGCUAGUUGGUGGGGUAAUGGCCUACCAAGGCGACGAUCCUUAGCUAGUCUGAGAGGAUGAUCAGCCACACUGGGACUGAGACACGGCCCAGACUCCUACGGGAGGCAGCAGUGGGGAAUAUUGGACAAUGGGGGAAACCCUGAUCCAGCAAUGCCGCGUGAGUGAUGAAGGCCUUAGGGUUGUAAAGCUCUUUGACCAGGGAUGAUAAUGACAGUACCUGGAGAAUAAGCUCCGGCUAACUCCGUGCCAGCAGCCGCGGUAACAC